ACCCGGAGAACUGAAACAUCUUAGUACCCGGAGGAAGAGAAAGAAAAUUCGAUUCCCUUAGUAGCGGCGAGCGAAACGGGAAGAGCCCAAACCAACAAGCUUGCUUGUUGGGGUUGUAGGACACUCUAUACGGAGUUACAAAGGACGACAUUAGACGAAUCAUCUGGAAAGAUGAAUCAAAGAAGGUAAUAAUCCUGUAGUCGAAAAUGUUGUCUCUCUUGAGUGGAUCCUGAGUACGACGGAGCACGUGAAAUUCCGUCGGAAUCUGGGAGGACCAUCUCCUAAGGCUAAAUACUCUCUAGUGACCGAUAGUGAACCAGUACCGUGAGGGAAAGGUGAAAAGCACCCCGGAAGGGGAGUGAAAUAGAACCUGAAACCGUGUGCUUACAAGUAGUCAGAGCCCGUUAAUGGGUGAUGGCGUGCCUUUUGUAGAAUGAACCGGCGAGUUACGAUUUGAUGCAAGGUUAAGCAGUAAAUGUGGAGCCGUAGCGAAAGCGAGUCUGAAUAGGGCGUUUAGUAUUUGGUCGUAGACCCGAAACCAGGUGAUCUACCCUUGGUCAGGUUGAAGUUCAGGUAACACUGAAUGGAGGACCGAACCGACUUACGUUGAAAAGUGAGCGGAUGAACUGAGGGUAGCGGAGAAAUUCCAAUCGAACCUGGAGAUAGCUGGUUCUCUCCGAAAUAGCUUUAGGGCUAGCCUCAAGUGAUGAUUAUUGGAGGUAGAGCACUGUUUGGACGAGGGGCCCCUCUCGGGUUACCGAAUUCAGACAAACUCCGAAUGCCAAUUAAUUUAACUUGGGAGUCAGAACAUGGGUGAUAAGGUCCGUGUUCGAAAGGGAAACAGCCCAGACCACCAGCUAAGGUCCCAAAAUAUAUGUUAAGUGGAAAAGGAUGUGGCGUUGCCCAGACAACUAGGAUGUUGGCUUAGAAGCAGCCAUCAUUUAAAGAGUGCGUAAUAGCUCACUAGUCGAGUGACACUGCGCCGAAAAUGUACCGGGGCUAAACAUAUUACCGAAGCUGUGGAUUGUCCUUUGGACAAUGGUAGGAGAGCGUUCUAAGGGCGUUGAAGCAUGAUCGUAAGGACAUGUGGAGCGCUUAGAAGUGAGAAUGCCGGUGUGAGUAGCGAAAGACGGGUGAGAAUCCCGUCCACCGAUUGACUAAGGUUUCCAGAGGAAGGCUCGUCCGCUCUGGGUUAGUCGGGUCCUAAGCUGAGGCCGACAGGCGUAGGCGAUGGAUAACAGGUUGAUAUUCCUGUACCACCUAUAAUCGUUUUAAUCGAUGGGGGGACGCAGUAGGAUAGGCGAAGCGUGCGAUUGGAUUGCACGUCUAAGCAGUAAGGCUGAGUAUUAGGCAAAUCCGGUACUCGUUAAGGCUGAGCUGUGAUGGGGAGAAGACAUUGUGUCUUCGAGUCGUUGAUUUCACACUGCCGAGAAAAGCCUCUAGAUAGAAAAUAGGUGCCCGUACCGCAAACCGACACAGGUAGUCAAGAUGAGAAUUCUAAGGUGAGCGAGCGAACUCUCGUUAAGGAACUCGGCAAAAUGACCCCGUAACUUCGGGAGAAGGGGUGCUCUUUAGGGUUAACGCCCAGAAGAGCCGCAGUGAAUAGGCCCAAGCGACUGUUUAUCAAAAACACAGGUCUCUGCUAAACCGUAAGGUGAUGUAUAGGGGCUGACGCCUGCCCGGUGCUGGAAGGUUAAGAGGAGUGGUUAGCUUCUGCGAAGCUACGAAUCGAAGCCCCAGUAAACGGCGGCCGUAACUAUAACGGUCCUAAGGUAGCGAAAUUCCUUGUCGGGUAAGUUCCGACCCGCACGAAAGGCGUAACGAUUUGGGCACUGUCUCAACGAGAGACUCGGUGAAAUCAUAGUACCUGUGAAGAUGCAGGUUACCCGCGACAGGACGGAAAGACCCCGUGGAGCUUUACUGUAGCCUGAUAUUGAAAUUCGGCACAGCUUGUACAGGAUAGGUAGGAGCCUUUGAAACGUGAGCGCUAGCUUACGUGGAGGCGCUGGUGGGAUACUACCCUAGCUGUGUUGGCUUUCUAACCCGCACCACUUAUCGUGGUGGGAGACAGUGUCAGGCGGGCAGUUUGACUGGGGCGGUCGCCUCCUAAAAGGUAACGGAGGCGCUCAAAGGUUCCCUCAGAAUGGUUGGAAAUCAUUCAUAGAGUGUAAAGGCAUAAGGGAGCUUGACUGCGAGACCUACAAGUCGAGCAGGGUCGAAAGACGGACUUAGUGAUCCGGUGGUUCCGCAUGGAAGGGCCAUCGCUCAACGGAUAAAAGCUACCCCGGGGAUAACAGGCUUAUCUCCCCCAAGAGUUCACAUCGACGGGGAGGUUUGGCACCUCGAUGUCGGCUCAUCGCAUCCUGGGGCUGUAGUCGGUCCCAAGGGUUGGGCUGUUCGCCCAUUAAAGCGGUACGCGAGCUGGGUUCAGAACGUCGUGAGACAGUUCGGUCCCUAUCCGUCGUGGGCGUAGGAAAUUUGAGAGGAGCUGUCCUUAGUACGAGAGGACCGGGAUGGACAUACCUCUGGUGUACCAGUUGUCGUGCCAACGGCAUAGCUGGGUAGCUAUGUGUGGACGGGAUAAGUGCUGAAAGCAUCUAAGCAUGAAGCCCCCCUCAAGAUGAGAUUUCCCAACUUCGGUUAUAAGAUCCCUCAAAGAUGAUGAGGUUAAUAGGUUCGAGGUGGAAGCAUGGUGACAUGUGGA
rnacentral:rRNA from 1 species